rnacentral:rRNA from 1 species
GACGAACGCUGGCGGCGUGCCUAAUACAUGCAAGUUGAGCGCUGAAGGUUGGUACUUGUACCAACUGGAUGAGCAGCGAACGGGUGAGUAACGCGUGGGGAAUCUGCCUUUGAGCGGGGGACAACAUUUGGAAACGAAUGCUAAUACCGCAUAAAAACUUUAAACACAAGUUUUAAGUUUGAAAGAUGCAAUUGCAUCACUCAAAGAUGAUCCCGCGUUGUAUUAGCUAGUUGGUGAGGUAAAGGCUCACCAAGGCGAUGAUACAUAGCCGACCUGAGAGGGUGAUCGGCCACAUUGGGACGGAGACACGGCCCAAACGCCUACGGGAGGCAGCAGUAGGGAAUCUUCGGCAAUGGACGAAAGUCUGACCGAGCAACGCCGCGGGAGUGAAGAAGGGUUUCGGAUCGUAAAACUCUGUUGGUAGAGAAGAACGUUGGUGAGAGUGGAAAGCUCAUCAAGUGACGGUAACUACCCAGAAAGGGACGGCUAACUACGUG